CUGUCUACUUUGCUAUAUGAGUCUCCAACCACUGACCAAACUCCAGGUGAAACAACUGCUGAGUUCUGCUUUCCCAGGCACACUGUUGUACUUGCUCUCAGUCCGUUGCCAUUGGUGAACUUCGAGGAACAAAAGCAACUGCUACACAGUAACCUACUUUGUGGAGAUUGGGAUCUGAAGUAUUACAGAGAGAAACAUAAUUACAUAUAACUGGGAAACUGAUCAUGAUUUCUCAAACAAAAGGGCAGAAUUGCACAAGAUGAAAUUCAACGUGUUCAGUAAGUGACUCAGUUAAAAGGAUCUCUUGGCUGUAAAGGGUCUUCGAAGAUGGUGUAAAAUGUCUGGAUCUAAGCAAUUGAGGAGGGUUGUGUUGAGAGCAGAAUGUGGUGCCAUAGGACUGGACGUCUUUGAUCACAAAUGGAAGGAUUCUGGUUCAGAGUAAAUGGAGCAGGAGAUCAUGUGAUAUACCUCCACAAGAAUAUGAUCAACUAGGAUUGGAAAUCCUAUUCUACUCGCAGUUCCUUGACUUUACGUAUCUGAGUCAAAUGGACCCGAAUUUCUUUCUGAUGAAUCAUAAAGGGACUAGAAAUAGAAGUGUCAAUAGUAGUGGAAGGAAAUUUGGCAUUUUAUAUAACCAAAAUAAAAGAGAUCUUGUCUGGACUGAAUCACCUCGUGUUAAUCAGAAGAUUUAAUAUUGUGAUAAUACUGAAACUGUAUUUUGUAUGAAUAAAUAUGAUUUUGUCCAUACCAA